UCGACAGAGAUUCCACUGAGGGAAAGUGGCUAGCGCAAGGGCUGAGGGGGUAAAAAUUAUGUGUUGAGGGACAUUCCCUAGUGUAUGAGAACCAGGUGCAGUACCGCCAAGAGACUCCCCUUACAGAGUAUUUGUACUCCUGUCUAUAUGGCCUAGUGUAAGAUGUUCUGACCUUCCAAGAGGGGCCAUUGAGACUGCAUGUCGGGAUCGAUACCUGUUGGUAACAACCCAACUCUCAUUCGCUGGGAACGAACCUCGCUUUGAAGCGGUUGGUAAGUAGCCUUUUAACCUUAUCUGAUACCAAAUGGGCCUGAAAUCAGGUUUGGUCAGCUCAUGAACUUGGCAUCUUAACAUGUCUUGGCCAGUGUUUGGUAGCUGGUGCUGACAGGAAGUCUCUCCCUGCAGUAUAUUUCAGUCUUUCACUGUGCUGUUGGACCACUUAGGAAGAAAUCUUUUUUCAACUUAAUGACUUGAACAUAUUCAAAUCCUUUUCUCCAUCUAGAUGCUGAUGGUGUUCACCCCAUCACUAAGCAGU
rnacentral:lncRNA from 1 species